rnacentral:rRNA from 1 species
AAAUUGAAGAGUUUGAUCAUGGCUCAGAUUGAACGCUGGCGGCAGGCCUAACACAUGCAAGUCGAGCGGUAGCACAGAGAGCUUGCUCUCGGGUGACGAGCGGCGGACGGGUGAGUAAUGUCUGGGAAACUGCCUGAUGGAGGGGGAUAACUACUGGAAACGGUAGCUAAUACCGCAUAACGUCGCAAGACCAAAGUGGGGGACCUUCGGGCCUCAUGCCAUCAGAUGUGCCCAGAUGGGAUUAGCUAGUAGGUGGGGUAACGGCUCACCUAGGCGACGAUCCCUAGCUGGUCUGAGAGGAUGACCAGCCACACUGGAACUGAGACACGGUCCAGACUCCUACGGGAGGCAGCAGUGGGGAAUAUUGCACAAUGGGCGCAAGCCUGAUGCAGCCAUGCCGCGUGUGUGAAGAAGGCCUUCGGGUUGUAAAGCACUUUCAGCGGGGAGGAAGGCGAUAAGGUUAAUAACCUUGUCGAUUGACGUUACCCGCAGAAGAAGCACCGGCUAACUCCGUGCCAGCAGCCGCGGUAAUACGGAGGGUGCAAGCGUUAAUCGGAAUUACUGGGCGUAAAGCGCACGCAGGCGGUCUGUCAAGUCGGAUGUGAAAUCCCCGGGCUCAACCUGGGAACUGCAUUCGAAACUGGCAGGCUAGAGUCUUGUAGAGGGGGGUAGAAUUCCAGGUGUAGCGGUGAAAUGCGUAGAGAUCUGGAGGAAUACCGGUGGCGAAGGCGGCCCCCUGGACAAAGACUGACGCUCAGGUGCGAAAGCGUGGGGAGCAAACAGGAUUAGAUACCCUGGUAGUCCACGCCGUAAACGAUGUCGAUUUGGAGGUUGUGCCCUUGAGGCGUGGCUUCCGGAGCUAACGCGUUAAAUCGACCGCCUGGGGAGUACGGCCGCAAGGUUAAAACUCAAAUGAAUUGACGGGGGCCCGCACAAGCGGUGGAGCAUGUGGUUUAAUUCGAUGCAACGCGAAGAACCUUACCUGGUCUUGACAUCCACAGAACUUUCCAGAGAUGGAUUGGUGCCUUCGGGAACUGUGAGACAGGUGCUGCAUGGCUGUCGUCAGCUCGUGUUGUGAAAUGUUGGGUUAAGUCCCGCAACGAGCGCAACCCUUAUCCUUUGUUGCCAGCGGUCCGGCCGGGAACUCAAAGGAGACUGCCAGUGAUAAACUGGAGGAAGGUGGGGAUGACGUCAAGUCAUCAUGGCCCUUACGACCAGGGCUACACACGUGCUACAAUGGCAUAUACAAAGAGAAGAAGCGACCUCGCGAGAGCAAGCGGACCUCAUAAAAGUAUGUCGUAGUCCGGAUUGGAGUCUGCAACUCGACUCCAUGAAGUCGGAAUCGCUAGUAAUCGUAGAUCAGAAUGCUACGGUGAAUACGUUCCCGGGCCUUGUACACACCGCCCGUCACACCAUGGGAGUGGGUUGCAAAAGAAGUAGGUAGCUUAACCUUCGGGAGGGCGCUUACCACUUUGUGAUUCAUGACUGGGGUGAAGUCGUAACAAGGUAACCGUAGGGAACCUGCGGUUGGAUCACCUCCUUA